GUAACAAGGUUUCUGUAGGUGAACCUGCGGAAGGAUCAUUA
rnacentral:rRNA from 2 species